rnacentral:rRNA from 1 species
AAAAAAGGUAAGCUACUAAGAGCAAAUGGUGGAUGCCUUGGCUAGUAGAGGCGAUGAAAGACGUGCUAGGCUGCGAUAAGUCUCGGGGAGCCGUCAAGGGGCUUUGAUCCGGGAAUUUCUGAAUGGGGCAACCCAGUAUAUAGUGAUAUAUACUACCGCAAUGCGGAGCGAACGUUGGGAAUUGAAACAUCUUAGUACCAACAGGAAAAGAAAUCAAACGAGAUUACGCUAGUAGCGGCGAGCGAAAGCGUAAGAGGGCAAACCACUAGCUUGCUAGUGGGGUUGUAGGACUGCAAUAUAGACUUAAACAAUCUAAUAGAAUAAGCUGGAAAGCUUAAGCAUAGAGGGUGAUACUCCCGUAUAUGAAAGUGCGUUUAUACUUAGCAGUAUCCUGAGUAGGGCGGGACACGUGUAAUCCUGUCUGAAGCUGGGUAGACCACUAUCCAACCCUAAAUACUACUACUAGACCGAUAGUGCACAAGUACCGUGAGGGAAAGGUGAAAAGAACUGAGGUGAUCAGAGUGAAAUAGAACCUGAAACCAUUUGCUUACAAUCAUUCAGAGCCCUAUGAUUUAUCAGGGUGAUGGACUGCCUUUUGCAUAAUGAGCCUGCGAGUUGUGGUGUCUGGCAAGGUUAAGGAAACCCGGAGCCGUAGCGAAAGCGAGUCUUAAUAGGGCGUAUAGUCAGAUGCUGCAGACCCGAAACGAUGUGAUCUAUCCAUGAGCAGGUUGAAACCGGUGUAAGAGCCGGUGGAGGACCGAACAGACGGCCGUUGAAAAGGCUCCUGAUGACUUGUGGAUAGGGGUGAAAGGCCAAUCAAACAUCGUGAUAGCUGGUUCUCUCCGAAAUAUAUUUAGGUAUAGCGUUGUGUAGUAACUUUGUGAGGUAGAGCACUGAAUGGGCUAGGGCAUACACCAAUGUACCAAACCCUAUCAAACUCCGAAUGCGCAAAGUGUAAUCACAGCAGUCAGGCGGCGAGUGAUAAAAUCCGUCGUCAAGAGGGGAACAACCCAGACUAACAGCUAAGGUCCCUAAAUCUCAUUUAAGUGGAAAACGAUGUGAAGUUACUUUAACAACCAGGAGGUUGGCUUAGAAGCAGCCAUCCUUUAAAGAAAGCGUAAUAGCUCACUGGUCUAGUGAUUUCGCGCGGAAAAUAUAACGGGGCUAAAAUGAGUACCGAAGCUUU